rnacentral:rRNA from 1 species
UGGGGAAUAUUGGACAAUGGGCGAAAGCCUGAUCCAGCCAUGCCGCGUGUGUGAAGAAGGUCUUCGGAUUGUAAAGCACUUUAAGUUGGGAGGAAGGGCAGUAAGCGAAUACCUUGCUGUUUUGACGUUACCGACAGAAUAAGCACCGGCUAACUCUGUGCCAGCAGCCGCGGUAAUACAGAGGGUGCAAGCGUUAAUCGGAAUUACUGGGCGUAAAGCGCGCGUAGGUGGUUCGUUAAGUUGAAUGUGAAAGCCCCGGGCUCAACCUGGGAACUGCAUCCAAAACUGGCGGGCUAGAGUAGGGCAGAGGGUGGUGGAAUUUCCUGUGUAGCGAUGAAAUGCGUAGAUAUAGGAAGGAACACCAGUGGCGAAGGCGACCACCUGGGCUCAUACUGACACUGAGGUGCGAAAGCGUGGGGAGCAAACAGG